GAUGAACGCUAGCGAUAGGCUUAACACAUGCAAGUCGAUGGGGAAGUGGUGCUUGCACCAUGGUAACCAUGGCGGACGGGUGAGUAACGCGUAAGGAACUUACCUGCGGGACCGGGAUAACAGCAGGAAACUGCUGACAAGACCGGAUAAGGUCAUUAAGCUGCAUAGCUUAGUGAUGAAAGGAGACGCCUGCGGAGAGCCUUGCGUCCUAUUAGCUAGUUGGAGGGGUAACGGCCCACCAAGGCGAAGAUAGGUAGCCGGCCUGAGAGGGUGGACGGCCACAAGGGGACUGAGAUACGGCCCUUACUCCUACGGGAGGCAGCAGUGGGGAAUAUUGGACAAUGGGGGCAACCCUGAUCCAGCAAUUCUGUGUGCACGAAGACGGUUUUCGGAUUGUAAAGUGCUUUCAGCAGGGAAGAAGGAAGUGACGGUACCUGCAGAAGAAGCGACGGCUAAAUACGUGCCAGCAGCCGCGGUAAUACGUAUGUCGCGAGCGUUAUCCGGAAUUAUUGGGCAUAAAGGGCAUCUAGGCGGCCUUUCAAGUCAGGGGUGAAAACCUGCGGCUCAACCGCAGGCCUGCCUUUGAAACUGAUAGGCUGGAGUACCGGAGAGGUGGACGGAACUGCACGAGUAGAGGUGAAAUUCGUAGAUAUGUGCAGGAAUGCCGAUGAUGAAGAUAGUUCACUGGACGGUAACUGACGCUGAAGUGCGAAAGCCGGGGGAGCAAACAGG
rnacentral:rRNA from 1 species